UGUUCUGUCAUUUUUCAAUGUUGUUUGAAACUUCAACCGGUUCAAUCGUGUGUUUAUUAAACUUUUUAUCCUUAAAUAAUUAUAGAUAACAAACCAUGGCGGCUCGUAAUAUUUUCAAAUUGGGUGCAUUAGAAGCGCAGAGGACCGCAUUCCUGCUAUGCGACAUACAAGAGACGUUCAGACCUCAUAUAAAAUACUUCGGCGAAGUGGUCAGAGUGGCGAAUAAAAUGGUGGAAGCAGCAAAACAUUUCAAAAUUCCUGUAUAUGUUUCGGAGCAGUAUCCCAAGGGUCUGGGGCACACCACCAAGGAUAUCAGUCUAGAGGAUGCUGCAUUGGUAUAUGAGAAGACUAGAUUCUCCAUGUACACACCAGAACUGCAGGAAAGACUGAAGAAGGAUGUGCCAAAUUUAAGCUCUGUUGUCUUGUUUGGGAUUGAGGCUCACGUUUGCAUCGAACAAACAGUUAUAGACCUGCUGAAUGAGGACAUUGCUGUCCAUGUCCUGGCUGACGGUGUCUCGUCCAGGUCUCUAAUGGACAGAGGACUUGCUUUCCAGCGCUUCCAAAACAUCGGCUGCUUCGUGAGUACAUCAGAGAAUGUGCUGUUCAAAUUAUUGAGAGACAAAAAUCAUCCUGUUUUCAAGCAAAUUUCUAAAUUGAACACGGAACCGACGCCGGAGGUUUUUGAUCAAGGUGUCACUAGGAAGAGUCCAGUGUAGAUAAGCGCUUGGCAAUACUUUGGAACGCAAUGGGGGUUAGAAACCUCACUCAGCGACCAUUUCAAUUGCUCCUUCGCAGACUGCAACACCUGAAAAUAAAGAAAUAAAUCCCAUUAUAAUAUUAUAAAUGCAAUGAUGGAUGC
rnacentral:misc_RNA from 1 species